rnacentral:rRNA from 1 species
UACGUAGGGUGCGAGCGUUAAUCGGAAUUACUGGGCGUAAAGCGUGCGCAGGCGGUUUUGUAAGCCAGAUGUGAAAGCCCCGGGCUCAACCUGGGAAUGGCAUUUGGGACUGCAAGGCUGGAGUUUGGCAGAGGAGACUGGAAUUCCUGGUGUAGCAGUGAAAUGCGUAGAUAUCAGGAGGAAUACCGAUGGCGAAGGCAGGUCUCUGGGCUAUAACUGACGCUCAUGCACGAAAGCGUGGGGAGCAACAGGAUUACGAAACCGUGGUAAGAUC